GUAAACAUGAAUGACCUAUAGUGCUCAGCAUCGUACAAUCCGUUCACUGGCCCGUUCAUUGUGGUAUGAGUUCUGAGUAGGCUAAAAAGCCUAAAUAGAGAGAAAACUAUAAUAAAUGACAGGUAGAGCAGUGAGGCUGAUGACUCCUUCUACACACGAAGCUAAGAAAGAAAGAGGGAGGAGAGAGGGAAUGUAUCCUACUGGUUGGAGCGUUGGGCAAGUAACCGAAAGGUUCCUGGAUCAAAUCUCUGAGCUGACAAGGGGACCCUCACUUUCCUGGGAGGAUAACUGUGCCUGUGUACACAGUCAGACUCAAGUAGAGUGUUAUGCCCAGCACUGGCAGUAGCUGCUGGCAUCCAUGCUUUCUAAUGAAGACAUGCCUGACUGAAAAAAAGAAGGCAUGAUACAACAUGAUGCAAUGCAUUCAGUUGAGCAUGAAAAGAUGAACCAUCAAAUUAUUUACUGUAUUUUUAGAAUGGACAAUAAUUAAGUUAUGGAUAAAGCAUUCUUGUUAAAAAGUAAAUAAACAAGUGUCGAAGUUU
rnacentral:lncRNA from 1 species